rnacentral:lncRNA from 1 species
AUUCCACAGGCGUUUGCUGUGCACCUCUUGUGCACCAAAUUCGAUGCUAGGCGCUGGGAAUUCAGCAGUGAGCAAAAGAGAAGGAAGGACCUGGUGAAAAAGAUAAAAAGACAGAGAGGCAGUCAGGCGGUGACCACACGGUGGGAGGCCACUGCACAGGCAGAGGCGUUUCAGGGUAUAUGGACGGGAGCCAGGUAGUUAUGGAAGGCUUCCUGGAGGAAGUGGCACCUGCUCAGAGGCCUGAAAGAGGAAUGGGCCUUGUUGUGGGGAGAGGCAGGUUGGGUACUCCAGGUAGAAGGAGCGGCAGGUGCAAAGGCUUGGCGGUGAGAAGACAGGGCACACGGCAAGGACUGAAAGCACAGCAGAGAAGCAUCGCAUGAACUUUCAAUCCUCAGGGUGACUCUGACGAUUAAAGACGCAUAUUUUUGAUCCCAUGAGGACCCUAAACGCAAGCCAGCGACUUUAUCUGGUGCUCAACUGAAGAUAUAGCCACAUUUUCCCACAUUGGAGGAAGACUGUUUUGGACUUACUGAGAGGUACUAAGUCCGGGUACUGUACCUAUGAGUGACUGAAGACAUUUUCAAGGGGUCGUCUGGACUUAGCACAUUUAUCUCCUUCACUCCGACCUUAAGACAACCCCCACUGUGAAGGACAGGAUGCCAGGACAGGGGCACCUGCCUGAGUCAUUUGGAGGAUGAGCCGUGAGACUGGGAAGGUGGACAGCAUCGGGAUAGGGAGAACUGAUGGUAAAGUGAAGGCUGAAACCAGCCCCUAGUGGCAAAGCAUGGAAACAGAAAACUUCACAGCAGAGACCAUCCUUUCACUUCCCGUCGACAUCCUACUGGAAGUUUCCUUAAUAAAAAUAUUCCCACG